CUCACGUGAGUUCAUCCCCAAGAAACCCUAAGUGGUGAAGGGGAAGCUUGUGAUUAAGUCUAAGGAUUAGGAGGAGAUUUUGCUAGAGGAUGAUAGCAUUUGAGGUUCCCCGUUGACGUGGCUAGUCUAAGAGUUGAGCCUUAGAUCGGAUAGAGUUUAGCUUGGG